AGCGAACGCUGGCGGCAGGCUUAACACAUGCAAGUCGAACGCCCCGCAAGGGGAGUGGCAGACGGGUGAGUAACACGUGGGAACGUACCCUUUGGUUCGGAAUAACUUGGGGAAACUCAAGCUAAUACCGGAUAAGCCCUUAUGGGGAAAGGUUUACUGCCGAAGGAUCGGCCCGCGUCUGAUUAGCUAGUUGGUGAGGUAAUGGCUCACCAAGGCGACGAUCAGUAGCUGGGCUGAGAGGAUGAUCAGCCACACUGGGACUGAGACACGGCCCAGACUCCUACGGGGGGCAGCAGUGGAGAAUAUUGGACAAUGGGGGCAACCCUGAUCCAGCCAUGCCGCGUGAGUGAUGAAGGCCUUAGGGUUGUAAAGCUCUUUUACCCGGGACGAUAAUGACUGUACCGGGAGAAUAAGCCCCGGCUAACUUCGUGCCAGCCGCCGCCGUAA
rnacentral:rRNA from 1 species